CACACCAUGAGAAAGUAAAAAGAAACAGCGAUGUUGUAGCGGUUUAUCGACACCACUGCAUUUUUGGGCAUGCAACAAUUGGCUUUUAGAGGACACGAUGAGAGGGAAAGUUCCGCUAACAAGGGCAACUACAAUGAGAUUGCGGAGCAACUGGGUUCUACAGUUUGACCCCACUGCUGUCCCUGGCUCCACACACAUCCUGCCCGGCCAUCUAGAUGUUUGAAGCCACAUUUCAUUUGCCCGGUCAUUCACUAGCAAAUUGAAUGUUUCCUGUCCAAGCACUUUAAAUCCUGUCCUGCCCUCAGUGGAAGAGUUGAGCUCUCUCCAAACACCAUCCAUCCAUCCAUGAUGAGCCUGUCCUGCACUAAAGUCUAUGAACACCUCAACCCCCGUCCUUCACUGAAGUCGAACCUCUGAACACCUCAACUCAUGCCUCAUACCCUCAUUCAAUCACUGCUGUGAUCCCUUCCCAACACUACUCAUUUAGGAAAAGUCAAGGAGGGGAGGCAUGACUUUAUAAUUGGCAGAGAAGGAGGACCAGAAGGAGCCGCUGCUCAGUGCAACGCAGCCUCCAUCCUCAUGGAUGAAGACCGCAUGGAGCUGGUGUAGCUAACCAUGGCAGCAGUGGCCCUGCCCUCUCUGGCCAUCCUGACCGGGGCUCAGGAGAUCUCAGACGACUAGUGGAAGGACAUGGUCCAGAAGAUGCUCCAGACUCGCCAAAGCUCAGAAGGCCUGACUAUGGAGCGCAAAUUAGACUGAAUUGCCUCCUUUCCCACAGUGUCUUUAACUGUGCCCUGCAUUUCACCAUCACACUUACCCCAGGGGAGUCUGAGCUGAGGUCCUCUGAACAGUCCUAGGUGUCUCAAUUCUCAAGAUAUGAGAGAAAUUGUGCAAACCCCUUUAUGUCCAAUUCAUAUUAUAUUAGGAUAUAUCUCCUAAAUAUUUGUGUUUGAAAGGAGCCUCUGGGUACUCACUGAUCCUAACCUAGAGGGCGGCAGGUAGCUUAGUGGUUAAGCACAUCGGGCCAAUGACUGAAAGAUUGCUGGUUUGAAUCCCCAAGCCAACUAGGUGAAACAUCUGCCUGUGCCCUUGAGCAUGCCACUUAACCUUAAUUGUUCCAGUACAUUUCUCUGGAUAAGAGUGUCUGUAAAAUAUGUAUCUUUUUUUCAUGAGCAGUCAAAAAUACUGACUGAGCAGUUCUAGUGUUAAAUGGCUGUGGGCUAGCAGACUGGUUCAUACUGUGUACAUUACUGUUCAUACUGUGUUGUCAUUGAAUUAAAAUUAUUUUAAUGGUUGUCCCUAACGACCUGAUUCAUACUGUAGUUUGUAGCCUACAUUUCUGUACCAUGCAUAUUAUUGUCUGUUUAGCAUUGCUGAAGCCAACUAGCCAAGUCCAUAGAUUAUAGGCACUCAAUAAAUAGAUAUGAAU
ensembl:lncRNA